CCUGUCCCUAGAGGCACUGCAGGUGUGGCUGCUGUGUCACAUGGGCACCAGUAGGUGGCAGAGAGGAGAGAGGCUAUGCCUACAUUCAGUGUCCUAACCUAUGAACAUCUGAAUGAUUAACAGCUUAACAUU